rnacentral:misc_RNA from 1 species
GCAAUUUUCAAAAAAGAAAUAAUAAAGCUCGGUUUUUCUUAUCCUAUUUAGAAGGGCCAAUUUGAUCCAGUUCGCCGCGCAGACGCACAAUCACGACUGGACUCUUUCUUUAUCAAAUCUCGGACAUCAGUUCCGUUUUCGCGUUUUGAUUUUGAAGAAGCUUAAAAUCUUUUUAGUUUUGAAGAAGGAGAUUGAAAUUAGGGAGAACAGACUAAUGGGGAUCCCAUCAGAAAUUAGAGAUUACUUGGCUCAGACGCUGAGGAGCAAAAAGUAUAAUACUUCCUUUGUGAUACCUUCUCCAGCUGAGGAUCAGAGGAUUUUGGAAUCUAAACGUUGCACUCAAGAAGGUGUUCGUGCCGGAACCAAGGCUGCUGCUAUUACUUGUGUUGUCACUGCCAUCCCUACUUUGACUGCUGUACGUGUGAUUCCUUGGGCAAAGGCAAAUCUCAAUUAUACUGCUCAAGCACUCAUCAUCUCAGCUGCAUCAAUUGCUGCAUAUUUCAUCACUGCUGACAAGACUAUCUUGGAGUGUGCAAGAAGAAAUGCUCAAUAUGACAAAACAACUUGAGAUAAUAAAUGUUUUUCUCACAAUUUUAUGUUACAAUCAUGUGUAAAAUGCCAGGAAUAAGGAAUUUCUCACUCUGUUUAUUCUCACUAUUGUGUUUUUACCAGGAGUCUAUUGUAUCUAUGGUAAGAUUAAACUUCUUCUCGCCAAGAUGUCUUUUACUAAUUUGGCUGUAAUGCU